AGCGGCCGCGUCACCGUUCCGGGAAGCGGGUGGCGUCACCCCGCCAUCCCUCCCUCCCUCCCUCGGUCGCCCCGUGCCGCUGUCCACGCCGCGGCGGCGGGGCGGGCCCGGGAACAAAGGCGCGAUAAAAAUAGAAGGGUCACGGGCCGGCUCAGAAGGUGGCGGAGUUUGUCUCCAGGUCUGUUCAGAAGCGCACACAGAUGGAGCAGCCGCUGGAUGUCCCCCUUGCUCCGCUUUCCUGCACAAGGAACAGCCUGCCGGAGGGACCAGCCUGCAGCUGGCAGGGACAAAGGGGCAGUGUGCAGGCCAGCUGCUCGCUGCUGCCCAGCUGCCUGCCAUGGUGUGACACAGCUCUCAGCACAAGAGAUGGUGAGACAGGGUAAGAACUUGCUGUUCACAGAGUUCCUCCUUUGGCUCCUGUGGUGUAAAGGUACCUGUUCCUCCAGCUAUAUGAAAAAAAAUGCAAAAUAAUUAAAAUUCAAGAAGCCUGGAUUUAUAUGAAGUAACACCAACGGAGAUCUGGGAUGAUUCCAUCAAAAGCACUGCAGUCAUGCUGUUUCUGAAAGGAUAUCUAAAGGUAUCCCAGUGAUUAUUAUGUGACUACCAGCAGUGUGCACAAGGAAAAAUACAAGUGGCCAGCAGAUUCCCAGCUGUGAAGAAAACACAUUCAGUGAAAUUAUUUUUCAGCUAGUACCAGGAAAAAACAUGAUUUAUUUCUGUUGUUCUUAAAUCAAACAGCCUAGUGGAGGAAUUUUUUUAAGGGUAACAUAAACCAGAUACAUUUCGAAGGCCUAGACUAGCUUAUAUUUGUGUUUUCACAGUACCGUGAGGAAUUUACACACACUGCCUCCGACAGGCCUUGCAAUAAAAUGAGCUGCAGUAUUGUAAAAGAAUGGUUUGUAACUAUUUUCCUUUGUAUUAAAGCUCCCCAUAAAUACAUAUUACUUGGAUCAUCAUGGGGUAAACCUCACUCACUUCAGCUGAAAGAUGAAGCACCAUAAAGUGAUACCUCUUUGGAGUGAGGAAAGUAAAGUAGCAUUCUUGAUGCUAUAGUCAUCUGGGGGUCCCAGUAGCCCAAAUGUCAGGCCAACAUUACCUUCCUCAAGAGGCUGGAAGUCACAGCAGGGAUAAAAGUCACAAGGAAUUCAAGGAAAACACCAGCUUAUUUAACAGCUAGGAAGCCAUUAAGGAUGGCAAAGCUGUAGUGAAGCUGAGAGCUGCAGCCUCAUUUCUGUGUCCCAGGUCACUUCUUCACGGGCUAAACUCCAGCCUUCUUUCUUAAACUGCAAUGGGCAUCUUUUAAGGACAAAAUGGGAAAAAUUGAUAAGUUAUGGUCUGAACAGCAGCAGUGUGAUUUUCCAUAAAUCCAGGCACCUGCAAGGUAUCAAAGCCAAAGGCAUCAUAUUUUUGGAAAAUGAGACUGAGGUUGUCAAGCAAGGAGCCAGCAGUAUGAGCUGUUUAAUUCCUGCUGAUUUCCCCAGAACUGUAUCCAAGAGAUGUCACACUUUUCUGUUCUCAAGUUCAACCUUAUCUCUGAGAGCAUCAGCAAGUUUCACCUUUUCUGAAAGAGCACUCUCCUGGGAUUUAUUUAUAAUCUCCUGCUGCUUCUUGUAAGUAAAGUUUCACUCCCCUUCCUUUGCUCUUCCUCACAUCAUUAUAUUGCACUGGUAGGCUGCUGCUUCACAUAUGAACCUUUCAGCAGCCUGUUGUCUUCCACCUGCAAGACAUGCUAAGCUCAAAGGAGACCAUUCAGAGGAAUGGGAAGCAAUUUAGGGACAAUAAUAGUAUUUAAUGUGUAGAAUCACAGAGUCUAAGCACAUACCAAACAUCCCUGCUAAGCUCAUGUUCCUAAAAUCCUUUCAAGUUCACUAAAAUUGAUAGGUUGGUCUUUACACACAUUAAUACUGAGAGUUUUUCAGCUAUCCCUACAAGCUUAUUUCUGCCUAUCAUUUUUGUUGUGUCAGAGUGUUAUUUGUGACCUGGUCAGUUUAAGAAAUAGAUGGAAUACAUGUUUUAAAAGACUGUAAGAUUGCUGCUGCAUUUGUCUAAAUUGCUGGAUCUGUUGUGUAUCUCAGGUGCACAUGUAUCUUUGUGCAACAUGAAAAUACUUCAGAAAUGCCUUGGAAGUCCUACUGCUCUAUUCUUAAAAAGUCUUGCAUCUAUUUUAAAGUACAGAGUAUGGUGAAAGAAUAAAUAAGAAAAAAUCCUUGAAAUGCCUGAGACACUUCCAAGACAUGUUACCUAAGAAUGUGAUCUCAAUUUAAACACGUAAUCCCUUUGAUUAUCUCUUUUGCCUUAAGUAUACUUAGGUGUGCUGCACAGUUCAGAAUGAACACUUUGCUAUUUUGUGGAACCAUAUUUAUUCUUGUUAGUAAAGUUUUUAGGAGUUUUGCUCAAACUUAAAAAUUAAUAAAGGGAUAAAUGUAAUUAAUAAUUUUGAGUUUACCUGGACUUUUAUCUGCAGUGUAAAAUAAAGGCUAUGGAGCCACAGCCCCCAACAAGGCAAAUAACCUUCCUAGGAUACUCUUGAUCUGGCAUGGCUAUUUUGAACCAGUUAUCAGUUUAAUCUAUAAAGUUUCCCUCCAGGCAGUGACUUGCUUGGUAACUAGUUCUGUGUAUCCAACACAAAUGAUUUUGGAGUCCCUGCAAAGCAGCACAGAACAAGGCACGAGGAAGUUUUCAGUCACCAUCUAAUUCUGUCUGCCCAAACCACCUGAAACAAGUGCCACCUUUAAGGAUUAUUUUUUCCAUUCAAUGCUUUUGUUGUCUACAAAAGAAGGGUGAAAGCUCUAAGUUUCAGCUCUACCUUCAGAUAUUCCUGCUAGUUUAGACCUGGCUUGAUUCAGUUCAUGUGUUUGACACUUUGUACGCCACUGUCUGACUUGUAAUCUUUAAAGCCCCAGGAGAAGUGGAUUAAAAUUUUCACAGUGCAAGGGUUUAGAUUUAAGUCUUUUUCAAGGCUUUAUCUGCUGCCUUUGCACAGUAUGGAAAAACUUUCAGCAAAAUCUGGAAGGUAAAAUAUAGACCCUGGGACAAUGAUUUCUUUUCCUUUUUCAGAGAGGUUUCUUUAAGUAGGGGGAAACGAGGUCAUAUUUUGAUUUCUCUUGGCUGGCUUAUCUCCGAGAUGGCCUGCACCCAGUUUCUUCUAAACUUUUCACUUCUCAGGAGAUAAUAUCUCAUGUCUGAAUGAUAAAGACUUGUGUCAAGAAGUACUGCAGAACAUGGUAAGCUGAACAUUCAUCAACAGUACAAAAUUUCUGAUGGCAAGAGCUACAAAUAACUUAGAGGAAACAUUAAAAGAAAUUGUUUAUUCAAGAGUACUUCCUGUGGCUCUGCAUUUCAUCCAGGUGCACAAGCUCUAUUUUUCACAGAACAUUCAUCUCUGUUUCUCUUAGUUUGGAUUUCUCAUCAACAGAUUACUCAAGCCAAGAUUUAAGUGUAAGUUUUGUAAACAAGUAAAUUAAGACUCACACUUUCUACUGAACAGAAAGAAAAAAGCUAAACCAAAAGGUGUUAUGUAAAGCCCAACAGAUGGAUAAGGGUGCAAGUUUGCAUUGUUAUCACUGGCCAUAUUUGACAGAAACAAAAAUAGGAAGCACUGCUAUCAGACCUGCUCUGCCAGAUCUACCUUGCCAGUAUCAAUUGUCCCAGUAGCACACUAAGAUAAAUUCUCAUUUCCCACCUAUUUUCUUUUCUGGGUUUGGGUUAUUUUGGACAUGCCAAGGUCAAAAUCAUUGCUAUUAGAGUACUUCUAGCAGUGAUUCUCACCUAUCAUACACCCAGGUCUUUGACAUUCUGACUGACUACAGAGGGGAAAAAUCACCUUUUGAUACAGCACUGUUUUCUACCAAAGCAGACAGACACGCUGUACAUUAUAAUUGCCUGAACUGGCACUCAGAGACAGAGCUCCGAGCAAAGUGCUACAAAUCUGAAAGUUUAGUGAUUUUUUGUUUGUUUCAAAGCCUUCACAGACAAGUACUAGUUUGUUUGAAAACUGCCAUUCUGUAUACCUUGUAAAUAGCUUUCAGGUUAUGGAUGCAUGUGCACUUUUAUGAAUAUUACUUAUGGGGCACAGAUUUGUCGUAUGUAAAUUGCAUGGUUUGUAUAUUUUUUCCUGUAUGGAGAGGAAAACAUUAGGCAAAGGAAUAAAUGGAUGAUGGGUAA